UACGUAGGGUGCAAGCGUUAAUCGGAAUUACUGGGCGUAAAGCGUGCGUAGGCGGUUCGUUAAGUUCGUUGUGAAAGCCCCGGGCUCAACCUGGGAAUGGCAAUGGAAACUGGCGGGCUGGAGUAUGGCAGAGGGGUGGAAUUCCGCGUGUAGCAGUGAAAUGCGUAGAGAUGCGGAGGAACACCGAUGGCGAAGGCAGCCCCCUGGGCCAAUACUGACGCUCAGGCACGAAAGCGUGGGAGCAAACAGG
rnacentral:rRNA from 1 species